GUGAGCGGGCUGCUCCGCAGCGGGGCGUGGGCACGGCCUGGGCAGAGCCGGGGGCUCUUGGCAACCUCUUGUCUCCCGCGCCUCCCUCCACCUGCCCUCGUCUCUCUCCCUCGGCCUCGACCUACUGUCCUUUGUGACCCUUCCUGGGUCGGCGACCCUGCAGCGGUCCCGGAGCCAGCAUCCCCAUCCUCCAGACAGGGCUUGUCCACGCGUAUCUGGAGAGCCCUGCAGGCAGCCCCCUCCAGGCCCCUGCAAUCCCUUUCUGAUGUUUCGCAGGCCCAGAAGAAGGCCCCUCCGCCGACCCCGCCGCCGUUGCCGUAGCCGAAGGCACCGCGGGCGCCGCCAGCCCCGGAGCCCCCGCAGCAGCAGCAGACGAGCCCCCAGAUGCCUACGGCCAGGCAGCCCAGCGCGAGCAGAGAGCCCAGGACGAUGCCGAUGAUCACGCCUAUACGCCGGGAGUCUGUGGAGAGAAGUGGAGGCAGCUCCAGGCCAAGAGAACAACAGCUCAUUCCUGAGAUAAGGAUCCUGCUGCCAUCUGCCAGAUCCUGAGGCUGCUCAAGGCAAGCCAGGGAUGAGCCAGAACUCGGCUGAGAGCAGAGGCUCCACCCUGGAGAAGCACCGCUGGAAGCACCCACACAGGAAGGACUCUCUCCAUGCCAUAGGAGCCUGCCAGGCAGGAUGUCAGCAAGCUCCUCAGCCCCCUCUCCCAAGUCCCCAUGUAGCCCAGGGCUCACCCUGCAGCACCCAGGGAGGAGCUGUCCUGCAGAGGAAACCUCUGAGGUAAGACUCUGGGAGCAGAAGCUGUGAGUGACAAUGGAUAGGCAAAGAGUCACAGAGAAGCCAAGGAGCCUUGCAGCUGCUGUCUGUCCACCCAGCUUUCAGUGAUGAUUUGGAGGUGGAGGUCUGCCAGGUGAGGCCAUGGUUGCAUGAGAAGGGCAGGGGGCUCAGAGGUUGCAUGGGUGGUGAUGGGACAACGUCGGAUUCUGGUUACAGAGAGGGAUGAGAUCGACAUGUGGGGCUAAGUUUGAGGGUGUGGGUUGGGUUCGAAACUAAGGCUCAAAUCAAAGCUGGCAGGGAAGAGCCGUGAACACAGGUGACACAGGGACUCCCCAAGCUCCUGCUUAGGUUUCCCAAACCUCAGUGGUUCUGACUGGUACACUUCAGAAGAAGUGGGAUUCUAGGAGGAGCCUGGAUAUGCCCACAUCUCUCCCAUCAAGCAAUGUCCUGAAGCUGACAGACUCAGAAGAGCAAGCAGCACACACAUAGUCCCCAUCAAUUAAAGGAGUGGCUGGAGUUGUCACUACAUCAACAAAGCACAAGAGCAAAGGGAGGCGAUUGAAUGCCACCAACUGAAUUGUUAGCAAGAGAAUGAGUGGAGGCGAGAAGAAAUCGCUUGUAAAGGCUAUGUGAUUCCCUGAUGACAGAUCUGAGGAAGAAUGAAGAGGCUUUGAAGAUAAAGGUAUCUUCACCUCGCCAAGAUCAACCACAUCCUGCAGAACCUUCAUUCAUUCAGCAAACAGCCAGGCUUUGUGCUAGGCCCUGGGGAAAUGGCAAUUAAGGAGACUCAGUCCCUAUCCUCACAGAACACCCCAUCUGACACGGAAAUAGCUCCUGGCCCGCAAUGUGGUAAGAUGCAGUAAUACGUGCAAGGCCCCUGACUUAGUGGCAAUGAUGUUUAAGCCGAGAUCUGAAGGAUAACUAACAACGGCGUGCCAGAGAAAAGAGUAGCGGGUGGAGAGAGGAGGCCAGGGGAAUAUUUCUGGGCUUGGUAAGUAAGCCAGGUCCCUGCCAGACAUGGACUGAGAAGAGCAAAGCCAGGAGUGACAGCUGACGAUUAUUUUUUAACUGAGGAAGGAAGAUCCUUGAGAACGGAACCUCUUGGGACCUUCUACCCAGAACACCAGAGCACCUCACUGGGAUCAGAGCCAGGCCAUCGGGUGGAUUAAGCAACUAAAAUUGAUUGUCCUGAACCAUGAGUCUGUCUGUUUAUGGGGAGAGAAACUUUGAGAUGAAUUAAUCCACAGGUCCAAUGGGACUUUGACAUUUUAAUUUGUAGAAAUAAAACUUGCCUUUGAUUUUGCCAUCUGGAUUCCCCAAACACGUAUCUACAGAGUGGAACUGUGGUGCCCCUUGACCUGCAGGGUGGCCCCAGGCCUGCCUUGCCCCGCUGGCAGUUGCCCAGGAAGGUGUGUAGGAG
rnacentral:lncRNA from 1 species